rnacentral:rRNA from 1 species
AUGCUUGUUGCAACAAAGAAGCAUGUUCUUUAUGAUUUGGUCUACUUACUCAUCAAAUUGAUAUUGAUUUUACCGGUGGCAACGGCGAGUGUUGAAAGAGUGUUUUCAGUAAUGAAUCUAGUGAAAAAUAAGUUGAGGGCUACUAUGAGUGAUGACCGCUUGGUGACAUUUAUUGAACGGGAUGUGUUCAUGGAAGUAAGCGAAGAUGACAUAGUUGAUGCUUUCAUGACAAUGCAAAAACGUAGAGUUACCUAG